rnacentral:rRNA from 1 species
AUUGAACGCUGGCGGCAGGCCUAACACAUGCAAGUCGAGCGAGCGGCGGACGGGUGAGUAAUGUAUGGGGACUGCCCGAUAGAGGGGGAUAACUACUGGACACGGUGGCUAAUACCGCAUACUAUCGGAUAACCCAUAUGGGAUUAGCUAGUAGGUGGUGUAAAGGUUCACCUAGGCGACGCUCUCUAGCUGGUCUGAGAGGAUGAUCAGCCACACUGGGAAUGAGAAACGGCCCAGACUACUACGGAGGCAGAAGUGGGGAAGAGUGCACAAUGGGAGCAAGCCUGAUGCAGACAUGCCGCGUGUAUGAAGAAGGCCUUAGGGUUGUAAAGUACUUUCAGCGGGGAGGCGUUACCCGCAGAAGAAGCACCGGCUAACUCCGUGCCAGCAGCCGCGGUAAUAC